rnacentral:lncRNA from 1 species
UAUUCAUCACCUCAAGAUUGCUAGUUACAAUCCAUGCAGGAAAGUGGCCACUGAGAAGCUUCAGAUGGUAGCAAAGUUACUGACUUGGAGCCUAAGAAAACAGGCAAUAGAAGGAGAGGCAGAGAAUCACGAUGCACAAUUUGGAAAGCUUUCUGAAAACAAGAAUGGGUAAUGAUUGCCAAGAACCUGGUGUUGAGCUCAUAUUUAAAAAGAGCUCACGAAAUCUUCCAUCUAACAAACCUAGUUUAGCUGGAAAGAAAACAAUCAGAGCAUCAAAAAAGACAGAGAGACAGAAAGCUUUUGGAAACUCACGAUUUAGUCUGCAAGAGCUCAUCUGCAAGAUGCAUUCCUCAGUGUGACAACUAAGCUUGAGCUAGAAGAUUUGGAUAUGACCUAACUCAGUUUCAGAAAACCAGACAGCCUCACAAUGAAGCUGAAGCAAGACCCCAUGGAGUAUGGAACUAGAGCUGAGUGGAUCUCUUAAAACUGUCUUACAGGCAAAGAUGAAUCAAAGGCAGUAAGAAGGGAUGGAUGGGCAUAGUUAACAUUAUGGAAAGGCAAAUGAAAACCAGUGAGGAGAACAUAGUAAGCGCAAUGUGGUAGGCCUAGCGAGAGACACUCAAGAUCUCUCUGCCUGCAGUAUCUGGAGGGAAGAUUUCACAGCUGCUGAACUGCAUUUCUCAUAAUUUAAUAGACACGAUUUCCUUGGCGGCUUGUUAGAAAGCAGAUUCCAAGUCUGGGAUACGAAUCAAGAUCUGGCAUUUUCAACAAAUUUCCAGGUGACAGGGUUGCAUUGUUUUGCACAGCUGAGUGCUAAAGCGUGUUCUUCCAGGCAAUGGAUUCACUCACACGAUGGUGUGAUUGACAGCUAAGAAAUCUCUCGAGUAACUGGAGUGAAUGUCAUACAGUUUAAAAAAAAUCAAGGGAAAAAAAACAGUUUUAAAAUUGUAAUGCUGUAUAAACCACAGGCUCUAACCUCUUUCUGAAUUUAUUAAUUCUAGAAUUGUGUUGAUUGUAAUGAACACCAGUGUUUUAUAAUAAAUAGCAUUAGCUUAGAAUAUGAAUAUUUGUCAUUUAACAUGGAAUGAAAUAAAAGAAGAAUUAUCUGCUCCAUUUGAGAUACACUGAGUAAAUUGCAGAAUGGAAGAGAAGUCAGAAAAAAAAAACUAUUCUAGUCAUGGAAAGGGAAUUGGUUAGGUCAUAUGAUGAGUCCUGAGCUCAUUCUGGGUUUCUUACUAUAAAUAGGGUAUUUUGGAACUAGAGAAAGCAUAGCAGAAGGAACUAGAAUGACAGAGGGAUUUGGGGAAUUUGCUGAAAGGUUAAAGAAACUAGGUCUGUUUUUCUUUGAAAGGAGAGGAGACAUAGUGCAGCAUUGAGGUGUUUGUUGCCAUCCUGAAAAACGUAGAAGGAAUGGGCUGAGACAAGAGUGCCCCG